AUGAACGCUGGCGGCGUGCCUAACACAUGCAAGUCGAACGGAGUUAUUCGCUGAUGAAGCUUCGGCAGAAUCUGAAUAACUUAGUGGCGGACGGGUGAGUAACGCGUGGGUAACCUGCCUCAUACAGGGGGAUAGCAGUUGGAAACGACUGAUAACACCGCAUAAGCGCACAGUGUCGCAUGACACAGUGUGAAAAUAUUUAUAGGUAUGAGAUGGACCCGCGUCUGAUUAGCUAGUUGGUGAGGUAACGGCCCACCAAGGCGACGAUCAGUAGCCGGCCUGAGAGGGCGGACGGCCACAUUGGGACUGAGAUACUGCCCAGACUCCUACGGGAGGCUGCAGUCGAGAAUUUUGGGCAAUGGACGAAAGUCUGACCCAAGCAAUGCCGCGUGCGGGAUGAAGGUCUUCGGAUUGUAAACCGCUGUCAAGAGGGACGAAAAAUGACGGUACCUCUGGAGGAAGCCACGGCUAACUACGUGCCAGCCGCUGC
rnacentral:rRNA from 1 species